GCUCCCCUCAGUCCCGGGUCGCAAGAGGUUGUCGGAUACUCUGGUCCGCACCCCGGUGUCGGAUCCUCUGGGCCGCACCCCGGUGUCGGAUCCUCCGACGGCCCUGACCCAGGAUUCACCAGGCUGGGGAGACAUGAUGGAUGCCUGGCCCUGGGCACAGGCACAGGACUCACCAGGCUGGGGAGACCCACUGAAGGCCUGGUCCUGGGAGGUGGCACAGGAUGAACCAGGAUGGGGAGACCCACUGGAGGCCUGGUCCGAGGAGGUGGCACAGGACGGACCAGGAUGGGGAGACCCACUGGAGGCCUGGUCCUGGGAGGUGGCACAGGAUGAACCAGGAUGGGGAGACCCACUGAAGGCCUGGUCCUGGGAGGUGGCACAGGAUGAACCAGGAUGGGGAGACCCACUGGAGGCCUGGUCCGAGGAG
rnacentral:lncRNA from 1 species